rnacentral:rRNA from 1 species
AUAACGACGCGGGACUCCGUCGAGGCCCCGCGAUCGGAAUGAGUACACUUCAAAUCCGUUAAGGAGGAUCGACCGGAGGGCAAGAAGAAGAAGAAGAAGAAGAAGAAGUAUGUACUGUUCUGG